GGAUUAGAUACCCUGGUAGUCCACGCCGUAAACGAUGUCUACUAGUUGUCGGUUGUCUUGUACGACGGGUAACGCAGCUAACGCGAUAAGUAGACCGCCUGGGGAGUACGGCCGCAAGGUUAAAACUCAAAUGAAUUGACGGGGGCCCGCACAAGCGGUGGAGCAUGUGGUUUAAUUCGAUGCAACGCGAAGAACCUUACCUGCUCUUGACAUCCCGAUCGCGGAUUCCAGAAAUGGAUUCCUUCAGUUCGGCUGGAUCGGUGACAGGUGCUGCAUGGCUGUCGUCAGCUCGUGUCG
rnacentral:rRNA from 1 species